rnacentral:misc_RNA from 1 species
UACAGAGACCUCAAGCGUUAUCCGGAUUUACUGGGCGUAAAGGGUGAGUAGCUGGCAUUACUAGUCUAAUGUUAAAUCUCGCAGCUUAACUGUGAGACCGCGUUAGAAACGGUAGAGCUAGAGCAGGUCAGAGGCAAGCGGAACGUGCGGUGUAGGGGUGAAAUUCGUUGAUAUCGCACGGAACACCAAAAGCGAAGGCAGCUUGCUGGGACCUUGCUGACAGUCAAUCACGAAAGCGUGGGGAUCAAAAAGG